GCAGUCGUGGCUGAGUGGUUAAGGCGAUGAACUAGAAAUCCAUUGGGGUCUCCCCACACAGGUUCGAAUCCUGUCGACUGCG
rnacentral:tRNA from 1 species